rnacentral:lncRNA from 1 species
CGUUGCUUAGUUUGUAAAAUGGGCAAGGGAUUGCCUAGUUUGUAAAACGUGCGCGCCAAUUGCCGAUUUAACCGGUGUAGCGGUUUAUCUGCCUGAUUUGCAGGGUGGCAAUGUUUUAUUUACCGACUUCUUGAAGUGGGCAAUCGCUGAACCGACGCGACGUCUAGAGCCAAAUGCGGUGUUUUUAGUAAUCGACACCAGCACUAUAGCGAUAAUGUGGAUUAUUUUGGUGAAAGAGUUGUCUUUUUUUGAGUAAUGUUCAGUUCUGUCUUUUAAGGUAGGUAUUUAUUUUAUAUUUUUAACAGUUAACCUAUUGUAGUUUAUAUCUAUUUCCUAAGUAUUCCUAAUCCAAAGCGAAAUUGCUUUACCGCUGGUAAUUCCAUGGCUUGGACCACACGGCUAAGCCUAACGAGUUUGGCUAUUUCAAAAUAUUUACUUACUGUUUUUUAAAAUUAAUUGUACGAUUUUACUUUAUUGCACCUCUGAUUUCUUCCACCUAUUUAUAAGAACCUCAAUCCACUGAUAAGGGCCUUAUGUGGUGUUGAGGCUCUAUUGUCUAGUAUCGAGCCUUUAAAUCACAUUAUAUUCGAUUUGGAAAGUCAAAACCAAAAUUAUGUUAAGGCCUGUCUUUACAAUUUUUAUGGAAUGUUUUUGUACAUCCUGUACGUCAUAUUCUCCCUAAUCGACACUAUUUGCUAUUUCUCAGAUCUCAUCAUUGUUUUGUAUAGAAGCCCCAUAAGGGCUUUCGUACAUUCUGUAUUUCUCCGUUAUAUUUAACAUUAAUCAGAUAUAAAUACAUACAUAACGAAACCCGCACUUAAUUAAAUUGGUUUUGAUACUUUUAUUAUACAUUUAUUUUUGUAAAUUAUCAUUUUCAGAUUUUAAUUAUGGAAGAUUUUUCGAAUAAUCGUCUAUGGACAAAAGAUUAUGAAGAGAGAGUAAUUCAUAUUUUACAGUCUAGUGGUGAAUGUGAUAUAGUCAAAAAUGGGAAAUUCUAUUAUUGCAAGAAAAAUUUCAAGCUAGUUAGUAUGGCUGGAGUCACCAAAGUGGCUACAAUAAAAGAUAAUCGUAUUAUGGCAAUAAAAGAAAAUAUAUUUUCAAUUAUCAGUGAUUUUCAUAGUGCUUGCGGUCAUAAAGGAGAAAAGAAAACUUAUAAAGCGG